rnacentral:rRNA from 1 species
CCGCCUGCCCUGUGACUAUAUGUUUAACGGCCGCGGUAUCUUAACCGUGCGAAGGUAGCGUAAUCACUUGUCUUUUAAAUGAAGACCUGUAUGAAUGGCAUCACGAGGGCUUAACUGUCUCCCCUCUCCAGUCAAUGAAAUUGACCUCCCCGUGCAGAGGCGGGGAUAUCUUUAUAAGACGAGAAGACCCUGUGGAGCUUUAGACCUAAAAUAAACCACGUUUAAUGUACUAGUAUUAAUAGCAAAAACUUAGUGGACAAUUAUUAAAGUGUCUUUGGUUGGGGCGACCGCGGAGUAAAACACAACCUCCAUGUGGACGGGGAUACUAUCCCCAAAACUCAGAGCCUCCACUCCAAGCAACAGAAAUUCUGACCUAGCUGAUCCGGUAUACCGAUUAACGAACCCAGUUACCCCAGGGAUAACAGCGCAAUCCCCUCUCAGAGCUCAUAUCGACGAGGGGGUUUACGACCUCGAUGUUGGAUCAGGACAUCCUAAUGGUGCAGCCGCUAUUG